AACGAACGCUGGCGGCAUGCCUAACACAUGCAAGUCGAACGAGAUCUUCGGGUCUAGUGGCGCACGGGUGCGUAACGCGUGGGAAUCUGCCCUUUGGUUCGGAAUAACAGUUGGAAACGACUGCUAAUACCGGAUGAUGACGAAAGUCCAAAGAUUUAUCGCCAGAGGAUGAGCCCGCGUAGGAUUAGCUAGUUGGUGUGGUAAAGGCGCACCAAGGCGACGAUCCUUAGCUGGUCUGAGAGGAUGAUCAGCCACACUGGGACUUAGACACGGCCCAGACUCCUACGGGAGGCAGCAGUGGGGAAUAUUGGACAAUGGGCGGAAGCCUGAUCCAGCAAUGCCGCGUGAGUGAUGAAGGCCUUAGGGUUGUAAAGCUCUUUUACCCGGGAUGAUAAUGACAGUACCGGGAGAAUAAGCUCCGGCUAACUCCGUGCCAGCCGCCGCAGUAA
rnacentral:rRNA from 1 species